rnacentral:lncRNA from 1 species
GUCAGGGAGUGGAGGUGCUGUGGGUGCCAGGCCGUGACCCUGCGCCUGGGCCGGGUGCACCCUCUCCUGGCCCGUAAUUCCCGUUUAUUCGCAGAAAAGCAGCGAUGGGCUGAGCGGGACCUUCCCGGGGCUGCUGGAGCGCUCUGCUCGCGGCCCCGGAGCGCCGGGACACGCUCGGGGUCAGGCUCGGGGUCUUUCAGGCGAGUUACGUUCCCUGCCCGUGCUUCCCACUGCUCCCUGGAUCAGCCCCUCUCUGCGGGAGGUGAGAGCUCUGGCG